GAGAAUGUCGUCUAAUGGUAGGAUAAUUGCCUUUUAAGCAAUCUAUAUUGGUUCGAAUCCAAUCAUUCUCA